rnacentral:misc_RNA from 1 species
GAUGAAGAACGCAGCGAAAUGCGAUAAGUAAUGUGAAUUGCAGAAUUCAGUGAAUCAUCGAAUCUUUGAACGCACAUUGCGCCCGCCAGUAUUCUGGCGGGCAUGCCUGUUCGAGCGUCAUUUCAACCAUCAAGCCCCCGGCUUGUGUUGGGGACCUGCGGCUGCCGCAGGCCCUGAAAAGCAGUGGCGGGCUCGCUGUCACACCGAGCGUAGUAGAUCUCAUCUCGCUCAGGGCGUGCUGCGGGUUCCGGCCGUCAAACCACCUACAUAACCCAAGGUUGACCUCGGAUCAGGUAGGAAGACCCGCUGAACUUAAGCAUAUCAAUAAGCGGAGGA